AGAGGUGAGGGCUAUCUGGCUGCGACAUCUGUCAUCUCAUUGAUCGCCAGUGUUGAUUCGGCUGAUCUGGCUGGCUAGAUGGGUGUCCCCCUCCUCCCUCACCGAUCCAUGUGCAUCCCUCCCGAAGCUCGGUCCAAGAGGAGGGCCUCGGUCCAGAGGAGAGGACCGGGACCCAGAGCACACUGGGAUGUAGAAUUCAUGGCCUGAGACGUUCCCUGGUGGCCUGGCCCUGGGG
rnacentral:sRNA from 1 species